UACGGAGGGUGCAAGCGUUGUUCGGAUUUACUGGGCGUAAAGCGCGCGCAGGUGGGUGAACAAGUCGGAAGUGAAAUCUUGAGGCUCAACCUCGAGGCUGCUCCCGAAACUGUUCGCCUAGGGACUGGUAGAGGCUGGUAGAAUUCCCGGUGUAGCGGUGGAAUGCGUAGAGAUCGGGAAGAAUACCUGUGGCGAAGGCGGCCAGCUGGGCCAGAUCCGACACUGAGGCGCGAAAGCGUGGGAGCAAACAGG
rnacentral:rRNA from 1 species